AGAGAAUGUGGUAUGUGCCCUGGGCCUGAUCGUGGGUCUGGUGGGCAUCAUUGUUGGAGCCAUCUUCAUCAUCAAGGGCAUGCACAAGGUCAAUGCUGGUGAACGCCGGGGGCCUCUGUGAGGCAUCCACAGGCAAUGGCUUUUCCCAAAGAGAAGAUCAAUGAAGAAAUGUGUGCCUUGAAAGCUUUAUAAGCCUGGCAAUAUCCCAAUUGCUCACCUCACUGAAGACAACUCUUUUUCAGCAUUUUCAGCCCUUUAGCUAUUCUAGGAAGAAUGAUGCCUUCCUGAUCUGUCCAGGCUCUGCUGUGGAGUUAUUCCCUGUUUACUGCCCUUCUUGGGUCUAUUUUUCUCCAUUUUCUACCAUCAUUUGAUCAUCACCAUGUGUUGCCUCUGGAAUAGACCCCAGAGGAUCCCUUCUCUGCCCGGAAACACUUUGAAUGUUCAAUUCAAACAUCUCUUCACACUUAUUGCUUGGGUUUCUCCCAACUGUGAUUGUGGGUUUUUUUUAAACACAAUAAACUUUUGAUGUUCUGAGGGAA